rnacentral:sRNA from 1 species
UGGCCAGGGUAGGCAGUUCGUCCCUACCU